GCCUCACUGGUUUAGUCGGUUAAGUGUCCGACUUCGGUUCAGAUCGUGAUCUCGCGGUUCGUGGGUUCGAGCCCCAUGUUGGGCU
rnacentral:tRNA from 1 species